GAUGAACGCUAGCGAUAGGCCUAACACAUGCAAGUCGAGGGGCAUCACAUGAGGUAGCGAUACCGAUGGUGGCGACCGGCGCACGGGUGAGUAACACGUAUGCAACCUGCCUCCAACAAGGGGAUAACCCGUUGAAAGACGGACUAAUACCCUAUGACACAGGGCUCCCGCAUGGGAAUAUUUGUUAAAGAUUUAUCGGUUGGAGAUGGGCAUGCGUUCCAUUAGCUUGUUGGCGGGGUCACGGCCCACCAAGGCAACGAUGGAUAGGGGAACUGAGAGGUUUAUCCCCCACACUGGUACUGAGACACGGACCAGACUCCUACGGGAGGCAGCAGUGAGGAAUAUUGGUCAAUGGACGCAAGUCUGAACCAGCCACGUCGCGUGAAGGACGACGGCCCUACGGGUUGUAAACUUCUUUUACACGGGAAUAAAGUGCCCCACGUGUGGGGUUUUGCAUGUACCGUGUGAAUAAGGAUCGGCUAACUCCGUG
rnacentral:rRNA from 1 species